UGGUAGCUAUGAUGUUGGCUCGGCUCACUCAGACGGCAUUGGCGUGAUGCAAAGCAUGCAUGCGUGCUUGCUAGCUCACUUGUGUUUCUGAUUGAGCCGUGCCAAUAUCUUAGUGCUCUUU
rnacentral:pre_miRNA from 17 species